UCACGCCUCGCACCUCCCUCUCUCCGUCUCACAAAACCUGACAAUCAUCUCUGGAUGACCAUCGCCGAACGCGUUGCUGGAAAACGACGGAGGCUUGGUGGAGUGGGAGUCGAGGUCGGAGGGCUGAUGGCACGAGCUUCCCUCUGAAGAAGAGGUCGUCGGAGAGAGAGACAGGCGCAAGUCAUGGUUCUAGCCAGACGACCCAGAAGAGAGGCGAAGUCGAACUCCAUGUCGACGCCGUCGCCGUCCUCAUCGCUAGCUCUGCAUUCACUGGCACCUGGCUAAAUGGAGUGCUGGAGCAACAAUCGACACAACCACCAAAAACUGUUAUGGUGAGACAAUGCCGAUGAGCAGAAUUGCAUAUCCAGAUCUCAGCGAUUACGCUCAGAGAACUCCAUUUCACUUCGAAGACCUUCAUCGCAAAGACCGCCACUCGACUGCCACUUUCGCUUUGAAGACCGACUACCGCUUCAAAGACCUCCGUGUUGGCCUCCCCAUUCCUCUCCUCGACGCCUCGGCUGGCCCUUGCCAAGACCCGGACCCGACCCACUUUACACCUUCGUGGCUGGCUACUUGCCCCUGUAGGACCCGUUGCCCAACUGGAGCAACUGCCUUCCAAAGGAGACGAUCCUCCUCAAUGGCUACGACACGAGCAUUGGUUUGUCGUCAUGGGGUUCCUACCGACCCUAACCCUCCGAAGGAAAGAUGAUUUAUGCUAACGUCUAGCCUCCGUUGUCGCAAGCGAGGAGUUCCAGUUGGUCAUUGAUGCUUCUAUGGUGAGAACCGGAAGAAAGGUGACUCUAUCUAAGCCAUCAGUGCAUAUUUGUAUUAAAUGGCGGCUUGUCCACUAGCAGAUCAAUUCCGUUCAAGUGGAUCUACAAAAAGUGGAAGGAGGGUUUGUACGUGACAUCUAUGGGUACAGCUGAUAGUAGAUGGGCAAUAGUUAUGCCUCGCGAUGCAGGAUUCUCUUAUCAGGUGUUCGAACUAGAUUUCCUUUAUCCCAGUGAGGGUAUUCCUCGGUGAUGGGACUCUGGAUAUUGUAUAGAAGCAACAGCUGCAACGUGGGACCAAGCUGCAUUCGUUCACAGUAGAACACGAAGAAAAUUCGCAAAUGAGACUCUUCAAACUUCGGCUUUUCCGUGCACACAUGUGAAGGAAACACGCAGCACCAGCUUCUACUUAAUUGUCAUGAUUGUUUUGGGGCAUAAUAAGGUUAUUUUGAAGGAUUUAGUUAUUGAUAUUUGGACACAGGAAACUUUUGGCAUAUAAAGUUGCCCUUCUAAUAUGCUUUGUUUUUGUUUCAUCUAUUGUGGCAUUGUUUGCAAUUUUGAAUGAGCAGAGAUUAAGCCUACUGUUCUUGAA